GUUCAAGAUGGUGAUCUAGCCCUUUAGUUUUGAGGUUGGUGUACUGUGUGUGAGUAUACAUAUUUAUCACACACAGUCGCCAUCUUCGAAAGUGAGGGUGCACAUCUUUCUCAGCCAUCU
rnacentral:pre_miRNA from 14 species